rnacentral:rRNA from 1 species
AGCAGCAGUGGGGAAUUUUGCGCAAUGGGCGGAAGCCUGACGCAGCGACGCCGUGUGGGUGAUGAAGGCCUUCGGGUUGUAAAGCUCUGUCAGAGGGGAAGAUUAUGACGGUACCCUCAGAGGAAGCCCCGGCUAACUACGUGCCAGCAGCCGCGGUAAUA